GGGUGCGUAGCUCAAAUGGCUGAGCAACUGACUUUUAAUCAGUAUGGUGAAGGUUCGAGUCCUUCCGUACCUA
rnacentral:tRNA from 1 species